ACUCCACACUAAAUAUCUGCAGCCUGAUAUAUUUUUGGGGAAAAUACGUAUUUGGGUUCCUUUUUUGUCCGCACAGAUGUAGGCUAUAUUUUAGUUUAAUCACUUUAGUUUUUUGACUGCUCAAACUGGCGUUUUUGCAAAGACUUUGAAGGCUCCGACGUUGCAGAAAGUAAAAGUGAAAGUAAGCUAGCAGUCAGUCGUUUUCUUGUUUGGUUAGCUUGCAGCAGUGUAGAUUUGUAUUUGUAUUUUUAUUUUCAUGUUCAUGUAUUUGUUUUUAACUACACGUGGAAUACAGUGCUACUUUCAAGUUUGUGGGGGAAGAGGGAGCCUGAGCAGGCAGAGGAUUUCACAGCUAAGACGAGGGUUUCCGAGAAACCACCUGACUCGCUGCCCUUUGCUCAGGAGGAGACGCCCCCUGCUGAGCGGCAGUUCCAACUGGAGCAGAACCGGUCCAGGUGACCAUCCGGCAAGUGCAGCAAAAAAGAGGAAAGCUGCUACAUUCUCGCUGAGUCGUGCACGUACUUCCCUACUUUUUUCCAUUACUAAAAUUAUUAUUAGCAUAUAUGUAAAAUAAAACAUGCACAAAAUAUAUUUUGAAUAUUAUUGAAAAUGCAUGUAUUAAUAUAAACCAAUUUUUAUUUUUUAUUUAUACACCUUAUGCACUUUUUUUUCCCUUUUUUUAUUUAUUUAUACCCCUUACAAAGUUGUAUUGGUUAUAUAUAUUAUUUUAUUUUGAACAUGCCUACAGGUUACAUUGUGUUACAUCAUAUUUACAUGUUAGGUUACAUUGUGUUACGUCAUCUUUAC